rnacentral:rRNA from 1 species
AACGAACGCUGGCGGCAUGCCUAACACAUGCAAGUCGAACGAGACCUUCGGGUCUAGUGGCGCACGGGUGCGUAACGCGUGGGAACCUGCCUUUAGGUUCGGAAUAACUCAGAGAAAUUUGAGCUAAUACCGGAUGAUGUCUUCGGACCAAAGAUUUAUCGCCUUUAGAUGGGCCCGCGUUGGAUUCGCUAGUUGGUGGGGUAAAGGCCUACCAAGGCGACGAUCCAUAGCUGGUCUGAGAGGAUGAUCAGCCACACUGGGACUGAGACACGGCCCAGACUCCUACGGGAGGCAGCAGUGGGGAAUAUUGGACAAUGGGCGAAAGCCUGAUCCAGCAAUGCCGCGUGAGUGAUGAAGGCCUUAGGGUUGUAAAGCUCUUUUACCCGAGAUGAUAAUGACAGUAGCGGGAGAAUAAGCUCCGGCUAACUCCGUG